CAAGUCGAACGAUUAUCAUCGGGUAGCAAUAUUCGGUGGUGAGAGUGGCGCAAGGGUGCGUAACACGUGGGUAAUUUGCCGUAAAGUCUGGAAUAACUUGCUGAAAGGCGAGCUAAUACUGGAUGUGAUUGCUGGAGGGCAUCCUCUGGCACUUAAAGUCGGGGACCGUAAGGCCUGACACUUUUCGAUAAACCCGCGGCCUAUCAGCUAGUUGGUGAGGUAACGGCUCACCAAGGCUAAGACGGGUAGCUGGUCUGAGAGGACGACCAGCCUCACUGGAACUGAGACACGGUCCAGACACCUACGGGUGGCAGCAGUCGAGAAUUUUUCUCAAUGGGGGAAACCCUGAAGGAGCGACGCCGCGUGGGGGAUGAAUGGCUUCGGCCCGUAAACCCCUGUCAUUUGCGAUCAAACCUUACGACCUAACACGUCGUAAGCUGAUAGUAGCGGAAGAGGAAGGGACGGCUAACUCUGUGCCAGCAGCCGCGGUAAUACAGAGGUCCCAAGCGUUGUUCGGAUUCACUGGGCGUAAAGGGUGCGUAGGCGGUCGGGUAAGUCUGACGUGAAAUCUUCAAGCUCAACUUGGAAACUGCGUCGGAUACUAUUCGGCUAGAGGAAUGGAGGGGAGACUGGAAUACUUGGUGUAGCAGUGAAAUGCGUAGAUAUCAAGUGGAACACCAGUGGCGAAGGCGAGUCUCUGGACAUUUCCUGACGCUGAGGCACGAAAGCCAGGGGAGCAAACGGGAUUAGAUACCCCGGUAGUCCUGGCCCUAAACGGUGCACGUUUGCUGUAAGAGGAAUCGACCCCUUUUGUGGCGAAGCUAACGCGUUAAACGUGCCGCCCGGGAAGUACGGCCGCAAGGUUAAACUCAAAGAAAUUGACGGGGGCCUGCACAAGCGGUGGA
rnacentral:rRNA from 1 species